AUUGCUUGAAAUGGCAUCUUCAGUGGUGUCAUUAUUCUGGACUUUCAUGACAUUCUCUAUCCAGAUUCUCUUCCAUAGUAUUGGCAAUCCUUUCCAUAGAAAACUGUGUGUAAUGAGUUCUAAAGUUCCUUAUGACCUCUGAUUGAGAGACUGAAUUAGAGAUGCUGGCUUUGGGAGCAAGUAGUAUGACUAAGCAGAUGCCUAGUAUCAGGUAGGGUCUCCUGGAAGGAGCCAUCUUGUGCUCCUACAAGGAUUAUACCCUGAGGUUGGCUAUCAAAUCUCUCACUAAAUGCUCCUCGGGGUGUUACCUGACACACACCACUGAGGUUACCCAUAAAAAUCUGCAUAAUGGAAUUCAGUCCAAUGCAACAAGAACUCCCAUGGACUUCUUCUGUGCAAGGCAAAGUAUGGCUGCUGAGGAAGGAGGAUGAAAACAGGAAGAAGAUGUAAUCUUAUCCACAAGGGGUGCUUAGUAGAAUGGAGGAGAAUAAUACAUAGAUUCCUAAUGAUGGGCACCAAAGUGAUUGGGGUGGGCCCACAGCAGAAGCCGAUAGCUCUGUUCAGAAUGUGGAAGCAGAUUGGGCAGAGGGAGGCAGCUCAGCAGAGUGCUUGGGCAGCAUAGGGCGGUGACUCACCACUGCAGGCAAUAUAUCUGAGGAAAGCCAUUUAAAACAGGUGACAGUCACAUUCCAUCAAAUCCCUGGAAGGAUCUGUGGAGACAAGGUUGUCAGUCUCCUUACAGCAUUUCAGAGGCCUCAGAAAGUUUGGAAACGAAAAAAGACAAGUGGCACUUGUGGCUCAUCUGUGUCACAAUUGUGGCUCACCUGCGUCUGUGCAAUGCACAAGUGAGCUCUGUAUUGCAGAGACACAGGUGAGCCACAGUUUCCUCCCAGUUAGGAGGUCAGUGCAAAGAGCCUUGCUCUCUUUCCGUCAGACAUGAGAUGCCCAUUGCUUUCUGGGCAGAGGACAAAGUAAAAAUUGUCUGUAAGCUUUGCAAAUUUUGCUUUGUGACAAAUUCCAAAAUUAUUAGCUUAAUUCAAAUUUGCUUUCCUUUUUAUCUUUCAGUGUCAUCAAGGCCAAAAGCAUUGCUUAAUAAUUUUGUUUCUAAACUCACCUUGCAGCAUUGGGCAUGAUCUGCCCCAAGGCAAAGAUGAUGAGCUACUCUUUUCUAGAAAACAUACAAGUAGUUAUCUGGGCAAAGGCUACUUACAUGUUAUUAUGAGUAAAUCAUUGGCAGUGAGUAUGACUUUUUUUUUUUUAAUGAAUGGGUGAGUACACGCCUUCUUGUGGGGUCAGGUUCUAUCUGUACUUCUUCCGCUUACUGUAUUACAGGAGCUUAGAAUCCCAGCUGCUGACUUGCUCUAGGCUGCAGUUCUCUGAUGGCUUCUGCAGAGUGGACUUGUUCCCUUCCCCUAUGUAUGUGUCUGCUGCUGACCUGUGGCUUUACCCAGGCAGGGAAGCUGCUGGUAGUGCCCAUGGAUGGGAGCCACUGGUUCACCAUGAGGUCAGUGGUAGAGAAACUUAUCCUCAGGGGGCAUGAGGUGGUUUUAGUUAUGCCAGAGGUAAGUUGGCAACUGGGAAGCUCACUGAAUUGCACAGUGAAGACUUACUCAACCUCAUACACUCUGGAGGAUCUGGAUCGGGAGUUCAUGGUUUUUGCCAAUGCUCAAUGGAAAGCACCGCUACAAAGUCCAUUUUCUCUAUUAACAAGUUCAUCCAGUGGUAUUUUUGACUUAUUUUUUUCACAUUGUAAGAGUUUGUUUAAGGACAAAAAAUUAGUAGAAUACUUAAAGGAGAGUUCUUUUGAUGCGGUGUUUCUGGAUCCUUUUGAUGCCUGUGGCUUAAUUAUUGCCAAAUAUUUCUCCCUUCCCUCUGUGGUCUUUACCAGGGGAAUAAUUUGCCAUUAUCUUGAAGAAGGUGCACAGUGCCCUGCUCCUCUUUCCUAUGUCCCCAGAGUCUCUUAGCGUUCUCAGAUGCCAUGACUUUCAAGGAGAGAGUACGGAACCACAUCGUGCACUUAGAGGAACAUUUAUUUUGCCCGUAUUUUUUCAAAGAUGUCUUAGAAAUAGCCUCUGAAAUUCUCCAGACACCUGUCACGGCAUAUGAUCUCUACAGCCACACAUCAAUUUGGCUGUUGCGAACGGACUUUGUUUUCGACUAUCCCAAACCUGUGAUGCCCAACAUGGUCUUCAUUGGUGGUAUCAACUGCAAACAGGGAAAACCAUUGUCUGUGGUAAGUCAUCUCUCUUUUAGCACAUUAAGAAUAAUCUUGCUUUGGACAUUAAAGGGAGAUUUCUUACUGAACUAUAAGUUGUCAUUUGCAUUUGUCCCAUUUGGAAUUUCUUUCUGGUUUAAGGAAUUAUUUUGUACACCAUUCACUUAAUUAUUGGGUAGCAAAUUGUAUAAAGCAGCUCUGGUUGAUAUGUAAGGGUAUAAAAUUGAUAUAAUUGUAGAUCAUAUCUAGGCUGCAAUCUAAAUGCAUUUUGGAAAAAUAUCAAAAACCACAGUAAGAAAUGAAACUUUCCUUCUUUGCCAAUUCUAUACUACUCCCAGAGGAAAAUAUUCUUAGCAGUUUUGUGUGCAUUCUUUUCAACUUUUUUGAAAUUAUAGUAUGUAUAUGCAUAUAUUUAGGGUAAAUUCUCACUUUUAUUAAUAUAAAAUCUAAUAUGCUGGCUGUGUUUUUUAUAUUAGAUUUUUCACUUGGCAAUAAAUUAAAGAUAUCUUUAUAGGUCAGUGCAUACAGAUUUGACAUGUUCUUUUAAUAAUUACAUAAUAUCUUUACUUUGGAUGCAAUGCAGUUUUCCAACCAAUUAAUAUUGACAGAGAUUUAUGUGUUUUUUACUUUUUGGGUUUAUGAACAAUAAUAAACAUUCUUGUAUACUUUCUUUGCAUUCAUAUGUUUCCAUAUUUUUGCUUUUAUCUCAGUAGGGUAUCAUCCUAUGAGUAUGGUUGCUUGGCUUUCAUUAAAUGAGUAAGAUUGGCAUCCUUUUGCUAUUACACCUUCCUACUGAAAAAUUUGCAUCCCUCAUUAUUUAUUCAGAUUUUGUUUUAUGUCCAUAAAUAAAAUUUUGCACAUUAUUAUUUUAUUUUUCUUAUU